UACGUAGGGUGCGAGCGUUGUCCGGAAUUACUGGGCGUAAAGAGCUCGUAGGCGGUCUGUCGCGUCGGUCGUGAAAACUUGGGGCUUAACCCUGAGCUUGCGGUCGAUACGGGCAUGACUGGAGUUCGGCAGGGGAGACUGGAAUUCCUGGUGUAGCGGUGAAAUGCGCAGAUAUCAGGAGGAACACCGGUGGCGAAGGCGGCACGCUGGACCUUUUCUGACGCUGAGGCGCGAAAGCCAGGGGAGCGAACGGG
rnacentral:rRNA from 1 species